UCCGGAGAGGUCGCCAGGCCUGAGCGCCCGGGGAGAGGGGACAGUAAUAAGGUGAAAGGGAAUAAUGGACAAAGCACUGAAAACAACGCUGACUCUAAUUCAGCAAAGUAUUUGAAGAUCUGAAGACUGAAGUUUAAAAAUCAACAGAUGAAGGGCCUAUGCCUGAAUUGUCGAUUC